rnacentral:rRNA from 1 species
GACGAACGCUGGCGGCGUGCCUAAUACAUGCAAGUCGAACGCUUCUUUCCUCCCGAGUGCUUGCACUCAAUUGGAAAGAGGAGUGGCGGACGGGUGAGUAACACGUGGGUAACCUACCCAUCAGAGGGGGAUAACACUUGGAAACAGGUGCUAAUACCGCAUAACAGUUUAUGCCGCAUGGCAUAAGAGUGAAGGGCGCUUUCGGGUGUCGCUGAUGGAUGGACCCGCGGUGCAUUAGCUAGUUGGUGAGGUAACGGCUCACCAAGGCCACGAUGCAUAGCCGACCUGAGAGGGUGAUCGGCCACACUGGGACUGAGACACGGCCCAGACUCCUACGGGAGGCAGCAGUAGGGAAUCUUCGGCAAUGGACGAAAGUCUGACCGAGCAACGCCGCGUGAGUGAAGAAGGUGUUCGGAUCGUAAAACUCUGUUGUUAGAGAAGAACAAGGACGUUAGUAACUGAACGUCCCCUGACGGUAUCUAACCAGAAAGCCACGGCUAACUACGUG